rnacentral:rRNA from 1 species
UACAGAGGUCCCGAGCGUUGUUCGGAUUCACUGGGCGUAAAGGGUGCGUAGGCGGUUCUGCAAGUCUGAUGUGAAAUCUCCAGGCCCAACCUGGAAAUGGCAUUAGAAACUACAGGGCUAGAGGCUUGGAGGGGGAACUGGAAUGCUCGGUGUAGCAGUGAAAUGCGUAGAGAUCGAGCGGAACACCGGUGGCGAAGGCGGCCCACUGGCUCGAUACUGACGCUGAGGUGCGAAAGCGUGGGGAGCAAACAGG